rnacentral:rRNA from 1 species
CCCCUAGACGUUCUGGGCUGCACGCGCGCUACAAUAAUACGCACAGCGAGUAUCACCGAGCUCGAAAGGGCAAGGUAAACAAUAGAAAAGGUACUGUAAUGGUUAUAGAUCCUUGUAAUUAUUGAUCUUCAACGAGGAAUUCCUAGUAAGUAUGUGUCAUCAUCACGCACUGAUUACGUCCCUGCCCUUUGUACACACCGCCCGUCGCUGCUACCGAUUGAGUGGUCCGGUGAAUUAUUCGGACCGGUGGACUGUGGGGAAACCCGCGGCCUGCUGGGAAGUCUUGUGAACCUUAUCACUUAGAGGAAGCAGAAGUCGUAACA